UAAUCAGUUAGUUCCUCUUGUCAAGCUAGAUUCUACUUGUGCUAUAGUCGAGGAAAGCUCGUGCCUUAUUUGUGUUAAGCUGUCGAGUUAACUAGACUCGAGGAACUAAUCCUUUAGGCAACUCCUCCUCAAAUUAGGUAGAACCGUGAUCCCCCGAAAAAGGGAAGGAAGAUGCUCCAAUAGGUAGGAGCUACUUAACUUUCUUCGGCGCUCCCCUUUUAAAGGCGGUCCUUUUCUUUCCCCCGACCGAUGACUCGCUUGUUCAGUACUGCUAACUAUUAUCGUAUAGGAGGAUGUCGUCCCCUCGGGACUACCAGUAGUUUCG